rnacentral:rRNA from 1 species
GACGAACGCUGGCGGCGUGCUUAACACAUGCAAGUCGAACGGAAAGGCCCUGCUUUUGUGGGGUGCUCGAGUGGCGAACGGGUGAGUAACACGUGAGUAACCUGCCCUUGACUUUGGGAUAACUUCAGGAAACUGGGGCUAAUACCGGAUAGGAGCUCCUGCUGCAUGGUGGGGGUUGGAAAGUUUCGGCUGUUGGGGAUGGACUCGCGGCUUAUCAGCUUGUUGGUGGGGUAGUGGCUUACCAAGGCUUUGACGGGUAGCCGGCCUGAGAGGGUGACCGGCCACAUUGGGACUGAGGUACGGCCCAGACUCCUACGGGAGGCAGCAGUGGGGAAUAUUGCACAAUGGGCGGAAGCCUGAUGCGGCAACGCCGCGUGCGGGAUGACGGCCUUCGGGUUGUAAACCGCUUUCGCCUGUGACGAAGCGUGAGUGACGGUAAUGGGUAAAGAAGCACCGGCUAACUACGUG